GAUGAACGCUGGCGGCGUGCUUAACACAUGCAAGUCGAACGGAAAGGCCCAAGCUUGCUUGGGUACUCGAGUGGCGAACGGGUGAGUAACACGUGGGUGAUCUGCCCUGCACUUCGGGAUAAGCCUGGGAAACUGGGUCUAAUACCGGAUAGGACCACAUUUUGGAUGGUGUGGUGGAAAGUUUUUCGGUGUGGGAUGAGCUCGCGGCCUGUCAGCCUGUUGGUGGGGUAAUGGCCUACCAAGGCGUCGACGGGUAGCCGGCCUGAGAGGGUGUACGGCCACAUUGGGACUGAGAUACGGCCCAGACUCCUACGGGAGGCAGCAGUGGGGAAUAUUGCACAAUGGGCGCAAGCCUGAUGCAGCGACGCCGCGUGGGGGAUGACGGCCUUCGGGUUGUAAACUCCUUUCGCUAGGGACGAAGCGCAAGUGACGGUACCUGGAGAAGAAGCACCGGCUAACUACGUG
rnacentral:rRNA from 1 species